AGGAAUGUAAUCAAUAUGAUAUUUCUUUUACAUAGAAAAUGUACUUUUUGUCAUUCAUA
rnacentral:tRNA from 1 species